rnacentral:rRNA from 1 species
UACGGAGGAUGCGAGCGUUAUCCGGAUUUAUUGGGCUUAAAGGGUGCGUAGGCGGAUCGUUAAGUCAGUGGUCAAAUUGAGAGGCUCAACCCCUUCCCGCCAUUGAAACUGGCGAUCUUGAGUGGAAGAGAAGUAUGCGGAAUGCGUGGUGUAGCGGUGAAAUGCAUAGAUAUCACGCAGAACCCCGAUUGCGAAGGCAGCAUGCCGGCUUCCUACUGACGCUGAAGCACGAAAGCGUGGGGAUCGAACAGG